UGGAAUCUGAGGACGGAACAGGCAGCCGUCACGCCCCAGUGGUCUUAAAAGAGAUGUGGGAUUGCCACCCCACCUAUUUCA
ncrna:unclassified sequences skipping-rope RNA